ACGAACGCUGGCGGCGUGCUUAACACAUGCAAGUCGAACGAUGAAGCCCUUCGGGGUGGAUUAGUGGCGAACGGGUGAGUAACACGUGGGCAAUCUGCCCUUCACUCUGGGACAAGCCCUGGAAACGGGGUCUAAUACCGGAUAAUACCUGCCUGGGCAUCUGGGUGGGUUAAAAGCUCCGGCGGUGAAGGAUGAGCCCGCGGCCUAUCAGCUUGUUGGUGAGGUAGUGGCUCACCAAGGCGACGACGGGUAGCCG
rnacentral:rRNA from 2 species